GGGAUGGUCGGGUUCGGUUGUGAUCAUGGAGGUCGGGGUCGGGCCUUUGCGUCCAUUGGGCCGAAGCCCGGACCGGUGUUUAUGUUAUCUGGUGGGUUGGGCUUGUGCAGUUGGGCAGCCCAUAUGUAGAGUUGGGAGUGAUAAGGGGUUUGCGUGGUUAAGGGUUUUAACCCUAAUCAUAUUCUAAUAAGGCAACUCCAAAGGUAGUAUUGGAA
rnacentral:lncRNA from 1 species